rnacentral:rRNA from 1 species
UUGAACGCUGGCGGCAUGCUUUACACAUGCAAGUCGGACGGCAGCACAGAGAAGCUUGCUUCUCGGGUGGCGAGUGGCGAACGGGUGAGUAACAUAUCGGAACGUACCGAGUAGUGGGGGAUAACUGAUCGAAAGAUCAGCUAAUACCGCAUACGUCUUGAGAGAGAAAGCAGGGGACCUUUGGGCCUUGCGCUAUUCGAGCGGCCGAUAUCUGAUUAGCUAGUUGGUGGGGUAAAGGCCUACCAAGGCGACGAUCAGUAGCGGGUCUGAGAGGAUGAUCCGCCACACUGGGACUGAGACACGGCCCAGACUCCUACGGGAGGCAGCAGUGGGGAAUUUUGGACAAUGGGCGCAAGCCUGAUCCAGCCAUGCCGCGUGUCUGAAGAAGGCCUUCGGGUUGUAAAGGACUUUUGUCAGGGAAGAAAAGGCUGUUGCUAAUAUCAGCGGCUGAUGACGGUACCUGAAGAAUAAGCACCGGCUAACUACGUGCCAGCAGCCGCGGUAAUACGUAGGGUGCGAGCGUUAAUCGGAAUUACUGGGCGUAAAGCGGGCGCAGACGGUUACUUAAGCAGGAUGUGAAAUCCCCGGGCUCAACCCGGGAACUGCGUUCUGAACUGGGUGACUCGAGUGUGUCAGAGGGAGGUAGAAUUCCACGUGUAGCAGUGAAAUGCGUAGAGAUGUGGAGGAAUACCGAUGGCGAAGGCAGCCUCCUGGGAUAACACUGACGUUCAUGCCCGAAAGCGUGGGUAGCAAACAGGAUUAGAUACCCUGGUAGUCCACGCCCUAAACGAUGUCAAUUAGCUGUUGGGCAACUUGAUUGCUUAGUAGCGUAGCUAACGCGUGAAAUUGACCGCCUGGGGAGUACGGUCGCAAGAUUAAAACUCAAAGGAAUUGACGGGGACCCGCACAAGCGGUGGAUGAUGUGGAUUAAUUCGAUGCAACGCGAAGAACCUUACCUGGUCUUGACAUGUACGGAAUCCUCCAGAGACGGAGGAGUGCCUUCGGGAGCCGUAACACAGGUGCUGCAUGGCUGUCGUCAGCUCGUGUCGUGAGAUGUUGGGUUAAGUCCCGCAACGAGCGCAACCCUUGUCAUUAGUUGCCAUCAUUCAGUUGGGCACUCUAAUGAGACUGCCGGUGACAAGCCGGAGGAAGGUGGGGAUGACGUCAAGUCCUCAUGGCCCUUAUGACCAGGGCUUCACACGUCAUACAAUGGUCGGUACAGAGGGUAGCCAAGCCGCGAGGCGGAGCCAAUCUCACAAAACCGAUCGUAGUCCGGAUUGCACUCUGCAACUCGAGUGCAUGAAGUCGGAAUCGCUAGUAAUCGCAGGUCAGCAUACUGCGGUGAAUACGUUCCCGGGUCUUGUACACACCGCCCGUCACACCAUGGGAGUGGGGGAUACCAGAAGUAGGUAGGGUAACCGCAAGGAGCCCGCUUACCACGGUAUGCUUCAUGACUGGGGUGAAGUCGUAA